AGAUGAACAGGUGUUUAGAUGAACAUGACCAACUGGUGAAUGUCCUUGGCCUGUAGUGCAAGGAUGAAUAGUUGAUCCCAGAUAUAUAUUGAUUGAUGUUACAGGGAUAAAAAAAAUAGACGAUGAACUUUAAAAUUCAUACAUAGAAGAUAGUAGUUUGCAUUCUCUACUUAACUCUUCUAAUGAAUUAUUAUUUCCGCCGCGAAUAUUGAUUUAAAACUUGUUGUCUAUUGUAUUCUAUUAUAUUUUUCUCUGUUG
rnacentral:lncRNA from 1 species